UUCAUACGCUCACUUGUCAAAAAAACCAACAAUCAAAAUGUUCAAACUUGUGAUCUUCUUCGCUCUCCUGGCUUUCGCCUGUGCCAAGCCUCUUGUGUACACUGCACCGUUUGCUGCGGCGUACACUGCACCUGUUGCAGCAGCGUACACGGCUCCAGUAGCGUACUCAGCGUACAACGCCUAUUCGCCGGUCGCAUACUCCGCCUACACCUACGCUUCACCUUAUUCAUACUAUCUUUAAAAAAAUAUUUUGAUUACAAACGACGACUGUUAUCAAUUUUUUAAAAAUGUGUUCACAAUGGCGACCGAUUUAUUUAUUAUUUCAAAUUUCAGUACAAUAAAUCAACUAUAUAACUGAAUAA